rnacentral:lncRNA from 1 species
UUCAAGCAGCUCAACAUAUUCCACAUUCAUGAAAAACAAUUUAUAAAAACGUUUUACAAGUUUCAGUUGCAAUGUGAGAGAGCUCAUGUGUCAGAUCAUCAUCUGCGGCACAGUUGCAGGCAUUGUCACAGCAGACCUGAACGCCGCAAAGGUGAGCAGGCGAGCUAGGUGUUUGACCUUCGAAAAACAAUGGUGGGACAGGAACGAGACGAAGCAGGUGCAUCGUGAAGAUACUUUCAUGAUAUGAGCCCAGUGUCCAUUUCAUCAUAAAAAUUCCUUUACAAAGCUAGAGCUGGGUGCAAAACAAAACAUGCCAGAUCCUCAAACCCAAACGUAUAGUAACAGCGAUGAAUGCGAGAGUCCAUCUAGCGGGGUCAGCUGGUGAUGAUCUGGUCUAGUUGCUCUGAUCUAAUCAGGCGGGGCAUGUCGAGAGCGGCGCACCGCAGAGUUUCUCGUUGCCGGGGCGGAAUGCAGACUCCGGCAAGGCACUCAAUCCCGAAGGAAGCUUUCCUGUGAGGUGAUUGCCACCCAAGUGAAGCUCCACGUUAGCGAGCUUCCCAUACUGCACGGGGAUGUUGCCAGAGUGGGCGUUGUUGGAGAAGUCCAGCACCUUGAGGUAGGGCAACAGGGUGGGCCACACGGGCAGGCCCGUAGUAAUCUUGUAGUUGGAGUGGACUCGCACCUCCUGUAGCGUGUUGUUGAGCGCUGACCCCAGACACGCCGGCCCCACGUUGGGCAGGUGGCUCUCCGAAACCUCCAGGACGCGUAGCUUUUUGAGCUUGCAGAGAUCCGAAGGUAGACCGAUGUUAUAUUUGGUGUUCUGGAGGAUGAGGACUUCCAGAGAGUUGGCGAACAGGCCGAUGUCGUUGCCCAGAGCACCUCCGGCGGCGUUCGCGUUACCUAGGAAUCCGUUGCGGACCACAAUCUCGCGCAGAGGGAGGUUGGCGAAUUUCCUGACAGGAAGAGGCGCGUUCCAUAUGAUCCAGUUGGUGUGCAGGACCUGGAGCUGAUACAAAUGGGACAGAGCUUCUCCUGCCUUGAAGCUUGCCUCCGGGUCACUCCAGAUGAGGAGGCUCGGCGCUCCAGGGCCCCCGCGGCUGGGUGCGCCGAAGUCCAAGUUAA